rnacentral:rRNA from 1 species
GACGAACGCUGGCGGCGUGCUUAACACAUGCAAGUCGAGCGAGGUCCAUCCGGUGGCAACACCGGGGAAGACCGAGCGGCGAACGGGUGAGUAACACGUGAGCAACCUGCCCCGAAGACUGGGAUAACACCGGGAAACCGGUGCUAAUACCGGAUGUCCUCCUCUGGUCGCAUGGCCUAGGGAGGAAAGACUGUAUCUAAUAGAUGCAGCUUGCUUCGGGAGGGGCUCGCGGGCUAUCAGCUUGUUGGUGGGGUAACGGCUCACCAAGGCGACGACGGCUAGCUGGUCUGAGAGGACGACCAGCCACACUGGGACUGAGACACGGCCCAGACUCCUACGGGAGGCAGCAGUGGGGAAUCUUGCGCAAUGGGCGAAAGCCUGACGCAGCAACGCCGGCGGU